rnacentral:rRNA from 1 species
AUUGAACGCUGGCGGCAGGCCUAACACAUGCAAGUCGAGCGGAGCGGCGGACGGGUGAGUAAUACCUAGGAAUCUGCCUGGCAGUGGGGGAUAAGGUUCGGAAACGGACGCAAAUAACGAAUACUAUCAGAUGAGCCUAGGGCGGAUUAGCUAGUUGGUGAGGUAAUGGCUAACCAAGGCUACGAUCCGUAACUGGUCUGAGAGGAUGAUCAGGCACACUGGAACUGAGAUACGGUCCAGACUCCUACGAGAGGCAGCAGUAGGGAAUAUUAGACAAUGGGCGAAAGCCUGAUCCAGCCAUGCCGCGUGUGUGAUGAAGGUCUUCGGAUUGUAAAGCACUUUAAGUUGGGAGGCGUUACCGACAGAAUAAGCACCGGCUAACUCUGUGCCAGCAGCCGCGGUAAUAC